UCACAGUCAGUCCUGCAGCCAGCAGCGGUUUGAGACCGUCACCUCGGGCAAGAAGAAGAAGGAAACAGAAGAUGGUACGCGCCGACCCGAGCCUUCUAGGUUUUUCUGUCAAUGCCUCAUCUGAGAGACUCAACAUGGGCGAGAUUGAGACUGUGGAAGACAUUUGAGGCCUGCUGAUCAGCAAGCUCCCCCUACUGACCGUUUCCAUUCUGAACAGCAUCCCUUGUGUUCUCCUCAACCCUUAUCCUCUCUCGUUUUUUUUUUUUUUUUUUUAUCCUCAAUUCUUUGAUUUGGAGUAGAUUCGGGGCAGCAAGUUUUUUUGUCUUCCCUAAUCCAGAGGAAACCACAGUUGCAAUAACAGCACUGCCCCACGGCCACGAAAAGAACCAAAAACACCGCGACCUGAGAAAAGGAAUAGAGGCUUGCUUCUGCAGGAGAGAGGAGUCAACCAGUUUCCAGAUGGAUCGUGCUCCUCUCCUGACUGGUGUUUCUUUAAGUGUGAAUAAAAGGAGUGCAGAGGAAAAAAAUUAUGCAUUAUCCCCAUUACAACUUCCUUUUUUAAUUUAUUCGUUCCUCCCCUCAUUCUUUUAGUGUUUUCCAUUUUCUUCCCUUCUCUCAUGCUUUGCUGCCCCUAUGUUGAUGGACGCAGAUAACAACGUAGGACUCGAGGAAAUGUGAUCAACAGUGUCCUGUUUUAAGGACAUUUUUGAAAGUUCCAGACAGUUAUCCAUUUCUUUGUAAAAUAUUAGGCUGUUUAAAGAAUAAACUUUCAAUUCUGCAUCUGUAUUAUAAUAUAUAGAAAUGAUGAACCAGUGGAGUCAUAUUUUUUUUUUUAUUGCAGUUUUGAUGAAUAAAUCAGUCUCUUGUGUGGGCUGUUCUGCA